rnacentral:rRNA from 1 species
UACGAGGGGCGCAAGCGUUGUUCGGAUUUACUGGGCGUAAAGGGCGCGUAGGCGGCCACGACAAGUCACUUGUGAAAUCUCCGGGCUUAACUCGGAACGGUCAAGUGAUACUGUCGGGCUAGAGUACAGAAGGGGCAACUGGAAUUCUCGGUGUAGCGGUGAAAUGCGUAGAUAUCGAGAGGAACACCUGCGGCGAAGGCGGGUUGCUGGGCUGAUACUGACGCUGAUGCGCGAAAGCCAGGGGAGCGAACGGG